UACGUAGGGCGCAAGCGUUGUCCGGAAUUAUUGGGCGUAAAGAGCUCGUAGGUGGCUUGUCGCGUCUGCCGUGAAAACCCGAGGCUCAACCUCGGGCGUGCGGUGGGUACGGGCAGGCUGGAGUGUGGUAGGGGAGACUGGAACUCCUGGUGUAGCGGUGAAAUGCGCAGAUAUCAGGAAGAACACCGAUGGCGAAGGCAGGUCUCUGGGCCAUUACUGACGCUGAGAAGCGAAAGCAUGGGGAGCGAACAGGAUUAGAUA
rnacentral:rRNA from 1 species